rnacentral:lncRNA from 12 species
CCCCCCCCCCCCCCCCCCCCCCCCCCCCCCCCCCCCCCCCCCCCCCCCCCCCCCCCCCCCCCCCCCCCCCCCCCCCCCCCCCCCCCCCCCCCCCCACACCUGGGGACACACCUGGGGACAGCUGGGGACACCUGGGACACACCUGGGGACACACCUGGGGACAGCUGGGGACAGCUGGGACAGCUGGGACACACCUGGGACACAUCUGGGACACCUGGGGACAGCUGGGACACCUGGGGACACACCUGGGACACACCUGGGACACACCUGGGCCACCUGGGGACGCCCAUCCUUGUCCUUAUGUUCCCCUUCCCUCACCUUGUGUCCCCCCAUCUUGUCCCACAUGUCCCCAAGGUGUCCCCAGUGUCACCACCCAUGUUCCCACAGUAUUCCCAAGGUGUCCCCCAGGGUGUCCCCACUGUCACCAUCCCCGUGUCCCCCUGGUGUCCCCCAUUGUCCCCAAGGUGUCCCCCGUGUCCCCCUGCUGUCCCAGUGUCCCCAGUGUCCCCCUGCUGUCCCCCGUGUCCCCAUUGUCCCCAAGGUGUCCCCAGUGUCCCCGUGGGGUCCCCAUGUCCCCAUUGUCACCUCCCGCUGUCCCCGUGUCCCAGGACCUGCUCCGGGCCGUCAGUGGCACCCUCAUCUUCCUGCUGGUGGCCCUGGUGGCCUUGGCCUCGUCCCGUGACGCGCUGGCCGCCACCACCUUCACCUUCGGCCUCGUGCUCGCCUUCAUCUUCGCCUUCGACACCUUCGUCACCUGCCGCACGCGGCUGGGGCGGGGACAGGGUGAGGGACACACCUGGGACAGCUGGGGACAGCUGGGGACAGCUGGGGACACACCUGGGACACACCUGGGCCACCUGGGGACGCCCAUCCUUGUCCUUAUGUUCCCCUUCCCUCACCUUGUGUCCCCCCAUCUUGUCCCACAUGUCCCCAAGGUGUCCCCAGUGUCACCACCCAUGUUCCCACAGUAUUCCCAAGGUGUCCCCCAGGGUGUCCCCACUGUCACCAUCCCCGUGUCCCCCUGGUGUCCCCCAUUGUCCCCAAGGUGUCCCCCGUGUCCCCCUGCUGUCCCAGUGUCCCCAGUGUCCCCCUGCUGUCCCCCGUGUCCCCAUUGUCCCCAAGGUGUCCCCAGUGUCCCCGUGGGGUCCCCAUGUCCCCAUUGUCACCUCCCGCUGUCCCCGUGUCCCAGGACCUGCUCCGGGCCGUCAGUGGCACCCUCAUCUUCCUGCUGGUGGCCCUGGUGGCCUUGGCCUCGUCCCGUGACGCGCUGGCCGCCACCACCUUCGUGAGUGUCCCCGAGCCCCGCCCCCACUGACCGGGCCACGCCCCCAAACUGACCGGGCCACGCCCCCUUCCCCUCCCCCCAGACCUUCGGCCUCGUGCUCGCCUUCAUCUUCGCCUUCGACACCUUCGUCACCUGCCGCACGCGGCUGGGGCGGGGACAGGGUGAGGGACACACCUGGGACAGCUGGGGACAGCUGGGGACAGCUGGGGACACACCUGGGACACACCUGGGCCACCUGGGGACGCCCAUCCUUGUCCUUAUGUUCCCCUUCCCUCACCUUGUGUCCCCCCAUCUUGUCCCACAUGUCCCCAAGGUGUCCCCAGUGUCACCACCCAUGUUCCCACAGUAUUCCCAAGGUGUCCCCCAGGGUGUCCCCACUGUCACCAUCCCCGUGUCCCCCUGGUGUCCCCCAUUGUCCCCAAGGUGUCCCCCGUGUCCCCCUGCUGUCCCAGUGUCCCCAGUGUCCCCCUGCUGUCCCCCGUGUCCCCAUUGUCCCCAAGGUGUCCCCAGUGUCCCCGUGGGGUCCCCAUGUCCCCAUUGUCACCUCCCGCUGUCCCCGUGUCCCAGGACCUGCUCCGGGCCGUCAGUGGCACCCUCAUCUUCCUGCUGGUGGCCCUGGUGGCCUUGGCCUCGUCCCGUGACGCGCUGGCCGCCACCACCUUCGUGAGUGUCCCCGAGCCCCGCCCCCACUGACCGGGCCACGCCCCCAAACUGACCGGGCCACGCCCCCUUCCCCUCCCCCCAGACCUUCGGCCUCGUGCUCGCCUUCAUCUUCGCCUUCGACACCUUCGUCACCUGCCGCACGCGGCUGGGGCGGGGACAGGGUGAGGGACACACCUGGGACAGCUGGGGACAGCUGGGGACAGCUGGGGACACACCUGGGACACACCUGGGCCACCUGGGGACGCCCAUCCUUGUCCUUAUGUUCCCCUUCCCUCACCUUGUGUCCCCCCAUCUUGUCCCACAUGUCCCCAAGGUGUCCCCAGUGUCACCACCCAUGUUCCCACAGUAUUCCCAAGGUGUCCCCCAGGGUGUCCCCACUGUCACCAUCCCCGUGUCCCCCUGGUGUCCCCCAUUGUCCCCAAGUGGGGGUGGGGGUCACUCGUGGGGGUCAUUGGGUCACUCGUGGUCAUGGGUCACUCAUGAUGGUCAUGGGUCACUCAUGGUGGUCAUGGGUCACUCGUGGUGGUGGGUCCAUCAUCAUCAUCACGGUGG